AGAGCGUUAUGAUGAUGGAAGAAAAACUUCUUCCGAGUCUAGCUCAGCGCUGCUCCCUAAAUUGUUAGGGAGC
rfam:Tetragenococcus muriaticus 3MR10-3 WGS_Sequence210_175, whole genome shotgun sequence.